CCUGAAACUUCAAUCCAAGUUUUUGAGAAGAGAGCACAGGCUGAAAGCAUGAAAACCAGAUAGAACAAGGCAUGGAAGGGAUUGGCUGCCAUAUCAGCCAAGCUGGCUGGAGCAGUGACAUAGUAAGCCAGACCGCCCACUGGAACAAACUGGCCACCUGAAUAUUCAGAUUCCUUCCACUUUCCCAACAGAUUGACAAAGAAAUUUCCACUGUAUCUCCUGUACAGCAACUGAGAGAUGAAAUA
rnacentral:misc_RNA from 1 species